rnacentral:rRNA from 1 species
GACGAACGCUGGCGGCGUGCCUAAUACAUGCAAGUAGAACGCUGAAGGGGGAGCUUGCUUCUCUGGAUGAGUUGCGAACGGGUGAGUAACGCGUAGGUAACCUGCCUGGUAGCGGGGGAUAACUAUUGGAAACGAUAGCUAAUACCGCAUAAGAGUAGGUGUUGCAUGACAUUUGCUUAAAAGGUGCAAUUGCAUCACUACCAGAUGGACCUGCGUUGUAUUAGCUAGUUGGUGGGGUAACGGCUCACCAAGGCGACGAUACAUAGCCGACCUGAGAGGGUGAUCGGCCACACUGGGACUGAGACACGGCCCAGACUCCUACGGGAGGCAGCAGUAGGGAAUCUUCGGCAAUGGACGGAAGUCUGACCGGGCAACGCCGCGUGAGUGAAGAAGGUUUUCGGAUCGUAAAGCUCUGUUGUAAGAGAAGAACGAGUGUGAGAGUGGAAAGUUCACACUGUGACGGUAUCUUACCAGAAAGGGACGGCUAACUACGUGCCAGCAGCCGCGGUAAUACGUAGGUCCCGAGCGUUGUCCGGAUUUAUUGGGCGUAAAGCGAGCGCAGGCGGUUAGAUAAGUCUGAAGUUAAAGGCUGUGGCUUAACCAUAGUACGCUUUGGAAACUGUUUAACUUGAGUGCAAGAGGGGAGAGUGGAAUUCCAUGUGUAGCGGUGAAAUGCGUAGAUAUAUGGAGGAACACCGGUGGCGAAAGCGGCUCUCUGGCUUGUAACUGACGCUGAGGCUCGAAAGCGUGGGGAGCAAACAGG